GAUGAACGCUGGCGGCGUGCCUAAUACAUGCAAGUCGAGCGAACGGACGAGAAGCUUGCUUCUCUGAUGUUAGCGGCGGACGGGUGAGUAACACGUGGAUAACCUACCUAUAAGACUGGGAUAACUUCGGGAAACCGUAGCUAAUACCGGAUAAUAUUUUGAACCGCAUGGUUCAAAAGUGAAAGACGGUCUUGCUGUCACUUAUAGAUGGAUCCGCGCUGCAUUAGCUAGUUGGUAAGGUAACGGCUUACCAAGGCAACGAUGCAUAGCCGACCUGAGAGGGUGAUCGGCCACACUGGAACUGAGACACGGUCCCGACUCCUACGGGAGGCAGCAGUAGGGAAUCUUCCGCAAUGGGCGAAAGCCUGACGGAGCAACGCCGCGUGAGUGAUGAAGGUCUUCGGAUCGUAAAACUCUGUUAUUAGGGAAGAACAUAUGUGUAAGUAACUGUGCACAUCUUGACGGUACCUAAUCAGAAAGCCACGGCUAACUACGUG
rnacentral:rRNA from 1 species